rnacentral:rRNA from 1 species
UACGUAGGGUGCGAGCGUUAAUCGGAAUUACUGGGCGUAAAGUGUGCGCAGGCGGCCGCGCAAGUCGAGUGUGAAAGCCCCGAGCUUAACUUGGGAAUUGCGCUCGAAACUACGUGGCUGGAGUGUGGCAGAGGAAGGUGGAAUUCCAGGUGUAGCGGUGAAAUGCGUAGAUAUCUGGAGGAACACCGGUGGCGAAGGCGGCAUCCUGGACCGGUAUUGACGCUGAUGCGCGAAAGCCAGGGGAGCAAACGGG